CAGCCGCCGCGGGAAUACGUAGGUGGCAAGCGUUGUCCGGAAUUAUUGGGCGUAAAGGGCUCGCAGGCGGUUUCUUAAGUCUGAUGUGAAAGCCCCCGGCUCAACCGGGGAGGGUCAUUGGAAACUGGGAAACUUGAGUGCAGAAGAGGAGAGUGGAAUUCCACGUGUAGCGGUGAAAUGCGUAGAGAUGUGGAGGAACACCAGCGGCGAAGGCGACUCUCUGGUCUGUAACUGACGCUGAGGAGCGAAAGCGUGGGGAGCGAACAGGAUUAGAUACCCCUGUAGUCCCUGUCUCUUAUAC
rnacentral:rRNA from 1 species